UACAACCUGGUGCAAUGGAUGUCUAGGCUCCCACCACGAUGAAGAACGCAGCGAAAUGCGAUACGCAGUGCGAAUUGCAGGACCUCGUGAAUCAUCAGAAUUUUGAACGCACAUUGCGCUCCCGGGACAUGCCCGGGAGCAUACCCAUCUGAGUG
rnacentral:rRNA from 1 species